AUGGCGAGGCCGGAGCUUGCGGGAUCCGUCUACGGUCACCAUGGUGCAGAGACGACAAUGAUGGCAAGAGGGCACAAACCUUGCCCUGAUCGAGGAGGAGGAGGAGGAGGAGGGGCGCACCUAGAUGCCAGCCCUGCUCUGCUCGAGGAGGAGGGGUGGGAGGGGUCUGCUCCUAGGGCGACCAAGAGGUCCUGCCCGAGCUCAAGCAUGGCCAUGAUGACCCACCACAGCAGCGACGGUGCUGCUGCACUUGUGCUAGUCAGUGAAGCUAAGAACCUUGGCCUUCAAGUUCUUGCAAGAACUAGAGGGUAUGCUGAUGCUGCUCAGAAAGAAAAUACCCUACUUGAUUUGGAUGCGGACGCCAACUAA
rnacentral:rRNA from 1 species